rnacentral:rRNA from 1 species
GAUGAACGCUGGCGGCGUGCCUAAUACAUGCAAGUCGAGCGAACAGACGAGGAGCUUGCUCCUCUGACGUUAGCGGCGGACGGGUGAGUAACACGUGGAUAACCUACCUAUAAGACUGGGAUAACUUCGGGAAACCGGAGCUAAUACCGGAUAAUAUAUUGAACCGCAUGGUUCAAUAGUGAAAGACGGUUUUGCUGUCACUUAUAGAUGUAUCCGCGCCGCAUUAGCUAGUUGGUAAGGUAACGGCUUACCAAGGCAACGAUGCGUAGCCGACCUGAGAGGGUGAUCGGCCACACUGGAACUGAGACACGGUCCAGACUCCUACGGGAAGCAGCAGUAGGGAAUCUUCCGCAAUGGGCGAAAGCCUGACGGAGCAACGCCGCGUGAGUGAUGAAGGUAUUCGGAUCGUAAAACUCUGUUAUUAGGGAAGAACAAAUGUGUAAGUAACUAUGCACGUCUUGACGGUACCUAAUCAGAAAGCCACGGCUAACUACGUG